CCCUGCUCUGGUUGGUAAAUAAUUGACAAAAAAGAUGGAGGGGGUGAAAUAACUUCAAUAUUUGACUAACCACUUAACAAAUAGAGUUGAAACUUGCUAUGCAAACGUAAAUAUAAAACAGGCAAUGAACUCAUUCAACCUAGAUCGUCUUUUAACACCAAAAAUGCAAUUUUAGCUGAAAAAAAUACAAGGCCAUUCUCCAUGGAAGUCGCCAUUUUGUUUACUG
rnacentral:lncRNA from 1 species